UACGGAGGGAGCUAGCGUUGUUCGGAAUUACUGGGCGUAAAGCGCGCGUAGGCGGCCUUGCAAGUUAGAGGUGAAAGCCCGGAGCUCAACUCCGGAACUGCCUUUAAAACUGCAUAGCUUGAAUCCGGGAGAGGUGAGUGGAAUUCCGAGUGUAGAGGUGAAAUUCGUAGAUAUUCGGAAGAACACCAGUGGCGAAGGCGGCUCACUGGACCGGUAUUGACGCUGAGGUGUGAAAGCGUGGGGAGCAAACAGG
rnacentral:rRNA from 1 species